UACGUAGGGGGCAAGCGUUGUCCGGAUUUAUUGGGCGUAAAGAGCGUGUAGGCGGCCAGGUAGGUCUGCUGUGAAAACUCGAGGCUCAACCUCGAGAUGUCGGCGGAAACCAUCUGGCUAGAGUCCGGGAGAGGGGGGUGGAAUUCCCAGUGUAGCGGUGAAAUGCGUAGAUAUUGGGAGGAACACCGGUGCGGAAGGCGGACCCCGUGGACCGG
rnacentral:rRNA from 1 species